rnacentral:rRNA from 1 species
GAAUAUUGGACAAUGGGCGCAAGCCUGAUCCAGCCAUGCCGCGUGUGUGAAGAAGGCCUUAGGGUUGUAAAGCACUUUCAGGGGUGAGGAAGGGUAGCUAGUUAAUACCUAGUUAUUUUGACGUUAGCCCCAGAAGAAGCACCGGCUAACUCUGUGCCAGCAGCCGCGGUAAUACAGAGGGUGCAAGCGUUAAUCGGAAUUACUGGGCGUAAAGCGCGCGUAGGUGGUUUGUUAAGUCGGAUGUGAAAUCCCAGGGCUCAACCUUGGAAUGGCACCCGAUACUGGCAGGCUAGAGUAUAGUAGAGGGGUGUGGAAUUUCCUGUGUAGCGGUGAAAUGCGUAGAUAUAGGAAGGAACAUCAGUGGCGAAGGCGACACCCUGGACUAAUACUGACACUGAGGUGCGAAAGCGUGGGGAGCAAACAGG